rnacentral:rRNA from 1 species
UGCGUCCAAAACCACAGGGCUCGAGGGAGACAGAGGUGAGUGGAACUGAAGGUGGAGCGGUGAAAUGUGUUGAUAUCUUCAGGAACACCGGUGGCGAAAGCGACUCACUGGGUCUCUUCUGACGCUGAGGCACGAAAGCUAGGGUAGCGAACGGGAUUAGAUACCCCGGUAGUCCUAGCCGUAAACGAUGAGCACUGGAUCGGAGGGGUUUCCGUGCCCUUCCGGUCGUAAUGAAAACGUUAAGUGCUCCGCCUGGGGAGUAAGGCCGCAAGGCUGAAACUCAAAGGAAUUGACGGGGGCUCACACAAGCGGUGGAGGAUGUGGCUUAAUUCGAGGCUACGCGAAGAACCUUAUCCUAGUCUUGACAUGCACGGAUUAGCUCUGUGAAAGCAGAGUAACGCCUUCGGGUGGAACGUGCACAGGUGCUGCAUGGCUGUCGUCAGCUCGUGCCGUGAGGUGUCGGGUUAAGUCCCUUAACGAGCGAAACCCUUGUCCUUAGUUGCCAUCAUUUAGUUGGGGACUCUAAGGAGACUGCCGGUGUUAAACCGGAGGAAGGUGGGGAUGACGUCAAGUCAUCAUGGCCUUUAUGACUAGGGCUGCACACGUCCUACAAUGGUACGUACAAAGGGCUGCAAACCCGCGAGGGGGAGCUAAUCCCAAAAAACGUACCUCAGUUCGGAUUGCAGGCUGCAACUCGCCUGCA